rnacentral:rRNA from 1 species
GGGAGCCUGCGUUGGUGGUAAAAGAGGUUUACAACCCGAAGGCCGUCAUCCCCCACGCGGCGCUCGCUGCGUCAGGCUUUCGCCCAUUGCGCAAUAUUCCCCACUGCAUGCCUCCCGCAGGAGUCUGGGCCGUGUCUCAGUCCCAGUGUGGCCGGUCGCCCUCUCAGGCCGGCUACCCGUAAUCGCCUUGGUAGGCCUUUACCCCACCAACAAGCUGAUAGGCCGCGAGCCCAUCCCUGACCGAAAAACUUUCCACACACCACCAUGAGGUGGCGUGUCAUAUCCGGUAUUAGACGGCGUUUCCACCGCUUAUCCCGGAGUCAGGGGCAGGUUGCUCACGUGUUACUCACCCGUUCGCCGCUCGUGUACCCCGAAGGGCCUUACCGCUCGACUUGCAUGUGUUAAGCACGCCGCCAGCGUUCGUCCUGAGCCAGGAUCAAACUCUAAGG